AAUCAACGCUGGCGGCGUGCCUCAGACAUGCAAGUCGAACGAUUAAAGCUCUCUUCGGAGAGUGCAUAAAGUGGCGCACGGGUGAGUAACACGUAAGUAAUCUACCUUCGAGUGGGGAAUAACGUCCGGAACGGACGCUAAUACCGCAUAACGCAGCGGCAUCGCAAGAUGACAGUUGUUAAAGAUUUAUCGCUUGAAGAGGAGCUUGCGGCAGAUAGCUUGUUGGUAAGGUAACGGCUUACCAAGGCUACGAUCUGUAUCCGGUCUAAGAGGACGGUCGGACACACUGACACUGAAUAACGGGUCAGACUCCUACGGGAGGCAGCAGUCGGGAAUUUUGGGCGAAU
rnacentral:rRNA from 1 species